rnacentral:rRNA from 1 species
AGUCGGGAGCUAAGACGAGGCCGACAGGCGUAGUCGAUGCACAACUGGUUGAUAUUCCAGUACCACCACAUUAUGCGCCCACGCUAAAGCAACUUUGCUAAGGGGAUGCUGCUAGCCCGUAAAACGGCCGGCAGAGAAACCGACCCAGGUUGUGGCGGCGAGCAAUGCGGGGACGCAGGAAGGUAGAUGAUCCCAGGCGAUGGUUGUCCUGGGGUAAGCGAGUAGGGAGAGGCCCAGGUAAGUCCGGUCCUCACGAUCCUGAGACGCGACGCCGAGCCGAAUCAGGCGAAGUCAUUGAUCCUAUGCUGCCAAGAAAAGCCGCUAGCUAGUACGUGUGGUGCCCGUACCCCAAACCAACACAGGUGGAUAGGUAGAGAAUACCAAGGCGAUUGAGAUAACUCUGGUUAAGGAACUCGGCAAAAUACAUCCGUAACUUCGGGAGAAGGAUGACCCCAUUAGGGUGACGGGACUUGCUCCCUGAGCUCGAAGGGGUGGCACAAACCAGUGGGAAGCGACUGUUUACUAAAAACACAGCAGCGUGCGAAGCCGUAAGGCGCUGUAUACGCUGUGACUCCUGCCCGGUGCUGGAAGGUUACGGGGAAGGGUUAGCCCUUGAGGCGAAGCUCUGAACCUAAGCCCCAGUAAACGGCGGCCGUAACUAUAACGGUCCUAAGGUAGCGAAAUUCCUUGUCGGGUAAGUUCCGACCUGCACGAAUGGAGUAACGACUCCCCAACUGUCUCAACCAGAGACUCAGCGAAAUUGAAGUACGAGUAAAGAUGCUCGUUAGCUGCAGAAGGACGGAAAGACCCCGUGGACCUUUACUAUAGUUUGGUAUUGGUUCUUGGUCUGAGUUGUGUAGGAUAGGUGGGAGACUAGGAAGCAUUGGCGCCAGCUAGUGUGGAGUCGUCCUUGAAAUACCACCCUUCUCAUGCUGGGAAUCUAACUUCGGCCCGUUAUCCGGGUCAGGGACAGUGCCAGAUGGGUAGUUUGACUGGGGCGGUCGCCUCCUAAAUGGUAACGGAGGCGCUCAAAGGUUCCCUCAGACUGGUCGGCCAUCAGUCGUUGAGUGCAAUCGCACAAGGGAGCUUGACUGCGAGACCGACAAGUCGAGCAGGUACGAAAGUAGGAGAUAGUGAUCCGGCGGUAGCGUGUGGAAGCGCCGUCGCUCAACGGAUAAAAGGUACCCCGGGGAUAACAGGCUAAUCUUCCCCAAGAGUCCAUAUCGACGGGAAGGUUUGGCACCUCGAUGUCGGCUCAUCG